AGGGGCGCCCACAAACUUACCAUGAUCGAUGCAUAUACUGGAAGGGAAGACAUGGACAGACCUCACCCUCCCAACGCAUCACCACCACCAGGCAGAGAGAGGGAACCCACACCGCCACGUCACGCCCUUCGCCGCCCCACCAGCAGCUUCUUUGUCUCCGUCACCUCGCGUCCAUCUCCUGAAAAUAAUACCAUUUAUGAAAAUAUCUUGCGUCUAAAGGAUGUAAAAGAUUAUAUGAAUCUUUUGUGUUGCGAAAAUGUUUUACCUUUACAAGUGAAUGAGCAGAUUAAUAAAUGACCUAAAGAAGAA